UCUCCGCUUGCGCGGGCAGUUUCUUUAGAGUCCCCGGCAUUAUCCGCUGGCAACUAAAGAUAGGGGUUGCGCUCGUUAUGGGACUUAACCCGACACCUCACAGCACGAGCUGACGACGGCCAUGCAGCACCUUGCAUUCUGCCCGAAGGAGGGCUGGUUUCCCAGCCUGUCAGAAUGCAUUUAAGCCCAGGUAAGGUUCCUCGCGUAUCAUCGAAUUAAACCACAUGCUCCACCGCUUGUGCGGGCCCCCGUCAAUUCCUUUGAGUUUCAUUCUUGCGAACGUACUCCCCAGGUGGAUCACUUAAUGCUUUCGCUUGGGCGCUGACUGUGUAUCGCCAGCACCGAGUGAUCAUCGUUUACGGCGUGGACUAC
rnacentral:misc_RNA from 1 species